rnacentral:rRNA from 1 species
GCUUGUCUCAAAGAUUAAGCCAUGCAUGUCUAAGUAUAAACAAAUUUAUAGUGAAACUGCGAAUGGCUCAUUAUAUCAGUUAUAGUUUAUUUGGCGAUAAAAACUACUUGGAUAACCGUAGUAAUUCUAGAGCUAAUACAUGCGCCAAGUCCCGUCUUACGUCGGGAUGUAUUUAUUAGAUUUCAAUCAACACUUUUUGCUGACUCAUGAUAACUUAGCGGAUCGCAGAGGCCUCGCGCCGGCGACAAAUCAUUCAAGUUUCUGCCCUAUCAGCUUUCGAUGGUAGUGUAUUGGACUACCAUGGCAUUCACGGGUAACGGAGGAUUAGGGUUCGAUUCCGGAGAGGGAGCCUGAGAAAUGGCUACCACAUCCAAGGAAGGCAGCAGG